CAGUAGCCACGGUAACACGGAGGGUGCAAGCGUUAAUCGGAAUUACUGGGCGUAAAGCGCACGCAGGCGGUCUGACAAGUCAGAUGUGAAAUCCCCGGGCUUAACCUGGGAACUGCAUUUGAAACUGUCAGGCUGGAGUCUUGUAGAGGGGGGUGGAAUUCCAGGUGUAGCGGUGAAAUGCGUAGAGAUCUGGAGGAAUACCGGUGGCGAAGGCGGCCCCCUGGACAAAGACUGACGCUCAGGUGCGAAAGCGUGGGGAGCAAACAGGAUUAGAUACCCGAGUAGUCCCUGUCUCUUAUAC
rnacentral:rRNA from 1 species